rnacentral:rRNA from 1 species
CAGGGAUUGCCUUAGUAACGGCGAGUGAAGCGGCAACAGCUCAAAUUUGAAAUCUGGCCCUUGGGUCCGAAUUGUAAUUUGUAGAGGAUGAUUUUGGUGCGGUAUCUUCCGAGUUCCUUGGAACAGGACGCCUUAGAGGGUGAGAGCCCCGUACGGUUGAAUGCCUAGCCUCUGUAAAUCUCCUUCGACGAGUCGAGUAGUUUGGGAAUGCUGCUCUAAAUGGGAGGUAAAUUUCUUCUAAAGCUAAAUAUUGGCCAGAGACCGAUAGCGCACAAGUAGAGUGAUCGAAAGAUGAAAAGCACUUUGAAAAGAGGGUUAAAUAGCACGUGAAAUUGUUGAAAGGGAAGGAUUUGUGACCAGACUUUUUCUGGGCGGAUCAUCCGGGGUUCUCUCCGGUGCACUUUGCCCAGUAAAGGCCAGCAUCGGUUUUCGGCGGGGGAUAAAAGCAGUAGGAAUGUGGCUCUCUUCGGGGAGUGUUAUAGCCUAUUGUAUAAUACCCUGCUGGGGACCGAGGUACGCGCUUCUGCAAGGAUGCUGGCGUAAUGGUUAUCAAUCACCCGUCUUGAAACACGGACCAAGGAGUCGAACAUUUGUGCGAGUGUUUGGGUGUUAAACCCUCACGCGUAAUGAAAGUGAACGGAGGUGAGAGCCCUUACGGGUGCAUCAUCGACCGAUCCUGAAGUUUUCGGAUGGAUUUGAGUAAGAGCAUAACUGUUCGGACCCGAAAGAUGGUGAACUAUGCGUGGAUAGGGUGAAGCCAGAGGAAACUCUGGUGGAGGCUCGCAGCGGUUCUGACGUGCAAAUCGAUCGUCAAAUCUGCGCAUGGGGGCGAAAGACUAAUCGAACCAUCUAGUAGCUGGU